rnacentral:lncRNA from 10 species
UGAAUGAUAGAAUAAAGAGAUACUGACUUCCCCGGAGCCUCCAAACUUGAGUAGUCAGGCAUUGGGAUCCGUGGAAGGCUUGUUAAAUCCAAAUAGAUUGGUCCUACUCCAUCCGCAGAGUUGCUGACGAGGUGCGUCCAGGCCUUCUCCUCACCUCUCAGGGAGAUAUACCAUGCAGUGCCUUCAGUUAUGGUGUUGUGACUGAGGAUGCUUCGGUCAGACAUGUCCCUGAAAACCUGCAUAGAGCUGCACUUCAAGGGAAGUUAUUGAAUAUGUCCUAUCCAACUAAAACAAGGAAAUGAUGAAAAAAAUAAAAUCACUUUCCAGAGGCCUCAGGGCUAACUGGAGACAGAGCUCAGACUGCAACUGAGAAAAGUUGGACUCCAAAACCUGUACUCUGAGCUUUACUGCAUGAGAAAGUUAUUGAAAUGUGCCUUGUGACAUUCAGAAUAAGUGACUUUUCAGAGGUCUCAGAGUCAGUAAGAGACAGAACUCAGAUUGUAACCAAGAAGAGCUGAACUCCAAACUUCUGUGUCCGGAAUUGGUGGGUUCUUGGUCUCACUGACUUCAAGAAUGAAGCGGCAGACCCUCGCGGGCCAGGUCUGCUCAGCAACUCAGUAUGUUGACUUUAUUUCCUGAGAGAGAAACAGAGAGAAGAAAAGAAAGAGGAGGA